AGAGCGAACGCUGGCGGCAGGCCUAAUACAUGCAAGUCGAGCGGUCCCUUCGGGGGCAGCGGCGGACGGGUGAGUAACGCGUGGGAACGUGCCCUUUGGUACGGAACAACUGAGGGAAACUUCAGCUAAUACCGUAUGUGCCCUUCGGGGGAAAGAUUUAUCGCCAUUGGAGCGGCCCGCGUUGGAUUAGGUAGUUGGUGAGGUAAAGGCUCACCAAGCCUACGA
rnacentral:rRNA from 1 species